CCUACGGGAGGCAGCAGUGGGGAAUAUUGGGCAAUGGGCGCAAGCCUGACCCAGCAACGCCGCGUGAAGGAAGAAGGCUUUCGGGUUGUAAACUUCUUUUAAGAGGGAAGAGCAGAAGACGGUACCUCUUGAAUAAGGACCGGCUAAUUCCGUGCCAGCAGCCGCGGUAAUACGGAAGGUCCGGGCGUUAUCCGGAUUUAUUGGGUUUAAAGGGAGCGUAGGCCGCAUGUCAAGCGUGCUGUGAAAUGUCCGGGCUCAACCCGGGCCUUGCAGCGCGAACUGGCGUGCUUGAGUCCGCGGAAAGCAGGCGGAAUUCGUCGUGUAGCGGUGAAAUGCUUAGAUAUGACGAAGAACCCCGAUUGCGAAGGCAGCUUGCUGCAGCGGAACUGACGCUGAUGCUCGAAAGCGCGGGUAUCGAACAGGAUUAGAUACCCCUGUAGUC
rnacentral:rRNA from 1 species